rnacentral:lncRNA from 1 species
UUCAAGAGGGACCAGGAAAAAGUACCUGUUACGCAACAAACGCCGCGGCUCGCUGAAAAUACCGACCAGAGCGAAUAAUGCCUGUUUAUAAGUGAAACCGUACACCUGUGUCAGCUGCCAGCCUGAUCUUCAAGGGUCUGAAGUGAAAGAAAGAAAGGCCGCCUCAGCAGGGAGGCCGCGGUGGCGCUGGGGCAGAGCCAGGCGGAACAAGGACGCAGUGGCCGCCAGGCCACCUGCCCGGGAGGCGGGACCUGAGUCAAUAAAGCCACUAAGCAAACAGUCGUGCUCAGUUUGUACAGUGGUUGAGGCUUGUGGGCCGAGGAUCUGGAAGCCGGCACACAUCCUCCCUUAAAUCCGAGCCCAGCUUUGUUUACACGGCUCGUCUCACGGCAAGAUGGCGGCCCGCGGGGUGCGGGGCAGCCUCGGGCGAGCGGGCCGUGGGCAGGGGGCUGCAUCCCGGGGCGGCUCCCCUCUCACACAGCGGGACUGGAGGUCUGUUAUCUUGAUGAAACAGGGCUGCGUGGAGAGCAUAAGGACGUUGGGGUGGGGCUCGUUAGCCGCAGUCACUUCGUGCGGGAAGGCAGCUUCUAAGAGCUGUGUUGGGGAGCCCCCCAGUUUUUCCUCUUCGGUUGCUAUGACACCCACCUACUCCAUCGAUGUAGGUAGACCUACCAAGUAUUCCUUUCGAAGGCUGAAGUGAAGACCCUGGUGUGAAGUCUCCACCUAUCUGCAGUUACUGGAAGCACAAAUCCUGAUGGAUGAGCCAUUUUAACCCACAUCACCAAACGAUGGGAAAAAUUCUUUAAGAAUGGACAAGUGCCUGUGUUAGGUCACAGUUUCUUAAUCCUUCUGGCAAUUACAACGCCCCAGGAGGCCUAACAGUUUGCAGUGCCUAGGUUGGGACCCUAGACUUGUAAGAAGCACCUUUCCUGCUGACACCACCCAUCAGUGUGUAAGUUAAUUUUCCCGAAGGGUGACAAACACACACAAUGUGCACAUGUCUCUAACAAGCCCACAUCUGAGUGUAGCCUCAACAGAUCUGAAAGCAGAGUCUUGAAAAUAUCUGUACACCCAUGCUCACAACAGUCACAGUAGCUGAAAACACCAUGCAUCCAUCAGUGUAGAUACAAAUGAACGGAAUGUGGUGUAGACACAAAGAUCAGCACUCAACUUCACAAAGCGAAUUGCAAUGCGUACUAAAACAGGCAAAGCAUCAUGUUAAGGAAAGUAAGCAGUGGUAAGGAGACAGUUAGAGCAAGCUUCCAUUUCUAAGAGAAACCUAGUCCGAUUCAGAGACGGAAAGAGCAAGAGCUGGGGAUAGGUGGGGCUGAUUAAUUCAUAAAGUGUCGGCUUUGCAUAAUAGCUUAAGCUCAUUCUCUAUUCCUAAACCCCAACACUUAGAAUGGUGUGUUAAUUUGUUUGUUUGUUUGUUUGGUCGCUUGCUUGCUUAAGACAGACUCUUACUAUGUAGCCCUGACUGGCCUACCUAGUAGAUACAACUGUGUAUACCAGGUUGGCUUCAAAAUCACAGAAAUCCACCUGCCUCUACUCCUAAAUGAUGGGAUUAAAGGCAUGCACCACCACACCCACUCAGGAUGGUGCAUUAUUUAAAAGCAUAUAUGGGGCUGGAGAGCUGGCUCAGCAGUUAAGAUUUCUAGUUGUGCUUGCAAAAGACAUGGCUUGUUUCCCAGCAUCCUCUGGGCAGCUUAGAACCAUCUGGAUCUCCAAUUUCAAGGUAUCUGACGCCCUAUUCUGGCCUCUGUAGAAAACAGGCAUGCACAUGGUACACAAACAAGCAUAACCCCCCCCCCCACUCAUACAUGUAAAGUAAGAAUAAAGCUUUUUAAAAAGGCAGACAUGGGGUCUAGCAAACAAAGAAGUAGAUGCUCAUAGUCAGCUAUUGGAUGGAUCACAGGGCCCCCAAUGGAAGAGCUAGAGAAAGUACCCAAGGAGCUAAAGGGAUCUGCGACCCUAUAGGUGGAACAACAUUAUGAACUAACCAGUACCCCGGAGCUCUUGACUCUAGCUGCAUAUCUAUCAAAAGAUGGCCUAGUCGGCCAUCACUGGAAAGAGAGGCCCAUUGGACUUGCAAACUUUAUAUGCCCCAGUACAGGGGAACGCCAGG